CCUGGUUGAUUCUGCCAGUAGUCAUAUGCUUGUCUUAAAGAUUAAGCCAUGCAUGUCUAAGUAUAAGCAAUUAUACAGCGAAACUGCGAAUGGCUCAUUAAAUCAGUUAUCGUUUAUUUGAUAGUACCUUACUACAUGGAUAACCGUGGUAAUUCUAGAGCUAAUACAUGCUAAAAACCCCGACUUCGGAAGGGGUGUAUUUAUUAGAUUAAAAACCAAUGCCCUUCGGGGCUCACUGGUGAUUCAUGAUAACUUCUCGAAUCGCACGGCCUUGCGCCGGCGAUGGUUCAUUCAAAUUUCUGCCCUAUCAACUUUCGACGGCUGGGUCUUGGCCAGCCGUGGUGACAACGGGUAACGGAGGGUUAGGGCUCGACCCCGGAGAAAACGCCUGAGAAACGGCGUUUACAUCCAAGGAAGGCAGCAGGCGCGCAAAUUACCCAAUGCCGACACGGCGAGGUAGUGACGAGAAAUACUGAUACAGGGCUCUUUUGGGUCUUGUAAUUGGAAUGAGUACAAUUUAAAUCUCUUAACGAGGAACAAUUGGAGGGCAAGUCUGGUGCCAGCAGCCGCGGUAAUUCCAGCUCCAAUAGCGUAUAUUAAAGUUGUUGCAGUUAAAAAGCUCGUAGUUGAACCUUGGGCCUGGCUGGCCGGUCCGCCUCACCGCGUGCACUGGUCCGGCCGGGCCUUUCCCUCUGGGGAACCGCAUGCCCUUCACUGGGCGUGUCGGGGAACCAGGACUUUUACUUUGAAAAAAUUAGAGUGUUCAAAGCAGGCCUAUGCUCGAAUACAUUAGCAUGGAAUAAUAGAAUAGGACGUGUGGUUCUAUUUUGUUGGUUUCUAGGACCGCCGUAAUGAUUAAUAGGGACAGUCGGGGGCAUCAGUAUUCAAUUGUCAGAGGUGAAAUUCUUGGAUUUAUUGAAGACUAACUACUGCGAAAGCAUUUGCCAAGGAUGUUUUCAUUAAUCAGGAACGAAAGUUAGGGGAUCGAAGAAGAUCAGAUACCGUCGUAGUCUUAACCAUAAACUAUGCCGACUAGGGAUCGGACGGUGUUAUU
rnacentral:rRNA from 1 species